AACGAACGCUGGCGGCGUGCCUAACACAUGCAAGUUGAACGGGUUCCGAAGGAGUAGCAAUACUUUUUCGGGAUUAGUGGCGGACGGGUGAGUAACACGUAGGUAACCUACCCUUGGGCGGGGGACAACCCCGCGAAAGCGGGACUAAUACCGCAUAAAUCCACUGGCUGGGAUGCUGGUGGGGAAAGUGGUGACACACCUAAGGAUGGGCCUGCGGCCUAUCAGGUAGUUGGUGGGGUAAGAGCCCACCAAGCCGAAGACGGGUAGCCGGGCUGAGAGGUUGAACGGCCACACUGGAACUGAGACACGGUCCAGACUCCUACGGGAGGCAGCAGUGGGGAAUCUUGCGCAAUGGGGGAAACCCUGACGCAGCGACGCCGCGUGGAGGAGGAAGGUCUUCGGGUUGUAAACUCCUUUUCUUGG
rnacentral:rRNA from 1 species